rnacentral:rRNA from 1 species
CAGCCGCCACGGUAAUACGUAGGGUGCGAGCGUUAAUCGGAAUUACUGGGCGUAAAGCGCGCGCAGGCGGUUAUAUAAGACAGAUGUGAAAUCCCCGGGCUCAACCUGGGACCUGCAUUUGUGACUGUAAAGCUAGAGUACGGUAGAGGGGGAUGGAAUUCCGCGUGUAGCAGUGAAAUGCGUAGAUAUGCGGAGGAACACCGAUGGCGAAGGCAAUCCCCUGGACCUGUACUGACGCUCAUGCACGAAAGCGUGGGGAGCAAACAGGAUUAGAUACCCCUGUAGUCCCUGUCUCUUAUAC